AGGACGAACGCUGGCGGCGUGCUUAACACAUGCAAGUCGAGCGGAAAGGCCCUUCGGGGUACUCGAGCGGCGAACGGGUGAGUAACACGUGAGCAACCUGCCCUUAGCUCUGGGAUAGCUCCGGGAAACCGGAAUUAAUACCGGAUAUGACCUAGGCCGACAUCGGCCGUGGUGGAAAGUUUUUCGGCUAGGGAUGGACUCGCGGCCUAUCAGCUAGUUGGUGGGGUAAUGGCCUACCAAGGCGACGACGGGUAGCCGGCCUGAGAGGGCGACCGGCCACACUGGGACUGAGACACGGCCCAGACUCCUACGGGAGGCAGCAGUGGGGAAUCUUGCGCAAUGGGCGAAAGCCUGACGCAGCGACGCCGCGUGGGGGAUGAAGGCCUUCGGGUUGUAAACCCCUUUCAGCAGGGACGAAGCGAAAGUGACGGUACCUGCAGAAGAAGCGCCGGCUAACUACGCGCCAGCAGCCGC
rnacentral:rRNA from 1 species